rnacentral:miRNA from 1 species
UCACAACCAACGUGAAUGCGGUC